AUGAUGGUUGAGGUCAAACAGAUUCAGAUGUCUUUAUUUCUGAUAGCGCUGCUUCAGUUUACAGCAGCAGCUGACCUCACUGUCAGAGAUGGAGACGACGUCACUUUGCGUUGUCAAGAUGUGAUUGAUGGUCAGCAGGAAUGUGGCCAAACUACAUGGAUGUUCAGGAAACCAAACAAUACAGAGCGGACUGAAGCUAAAUCAGACAGCCUGAGUGUCACAGCCAACUGUUCUCUGCUUAUAAAGAAGGUCACAGUGGAGGAUGCUGGUCUUUACAUCUGCAGACAGUUUAUAUCAGACCAACGAAAAGAUUUUGAUCUGUCUGUUAUUACCAUGACGGACCACGAGGACACUGAUGAGGUGACGCUGAGCUGCUCUGUGUUGGUAUAUAGACGAUGUACACACGCAGUGACGUGGAUGUAUGAGGGUCGAUAUCUGUAUGAAGAUAACCAAGAAGUGAAGACAUCAUGGUCUCCCUGCAAUGUCUCUGUGACCUUUAAGACUUCUCAUUACAUUUACACUUCACACUAUAACUCGUUGAUGUGUGCAGUGACUGAUGGUUUCCAAAAGUGGCAGAUUCCAGUCAGACUUCCCUCAGGUGAGCAACCAGGUGACGAAAUAAAACCAACAACAACAACAACAACUGCAGGAACCAACUCGAUACCGUCUCCAAUCAACGAGACAGAAACAGAACUAAAAGCUCGUGCAGAUUGUUCUGUUCUCAACUUCGUAAUGUUGGUUAUGCGUGUGGCUGAACUCCUCCUGAUUACUGUGAUUACUGUUCUUCUCCUCAGAGCUCGAGGGAACCAGAGACCACCUGAUGACAGCACUGUUUUAAACUCAGGAAGAAGCCGAGCAGUGAGGCGUUCAGGUCCAGCAGCCAGUCAGGUAAAGAUCAGAUCAGACUGUAACUGA
rnacentral:lncRNA from 1 species